CGUAAGCAAACCGGAAGUAGGGACAAAUAUUUUCCGGUGAAAGCGCUAGCCGAACAAUGGCGGAGUCCAAAAGUAAUCAGUCGUGUAGUGUACCUUUGUGUUCUAAUUCAAAGAAAAAGCAACCUUACUUAUCAUUUCAUAGUUUUCCCAUCGACGAAAAUGUAAGAAAGCGUUGGAUUUGGGCCAUACGGAGAAAAGAUGGGGCGGCAUUUACUGUGAGGAAAACUAGCACUUUUGUGCUAACUGUUAAGCACUUCACGGAAGAUGAGGUCCGUGUCCAUCCAGAGUCCGGUCGUAAGGCUGUGCCUUCCAGGUUUGCGUGGAACAGUUGGGGAGAAGUUAAAUCACGCUAGACUCGGACAUCAAAAGGAGGUGUUCGUGGUGCAGAGAAAGCAGUAGAUGUCGAAAUGGAGAGUGCUGGUGCAUGAUUACAACAGCCGUCCAGCCCCGGUAUCCUCUCAGAUUCUGAACACAUCAACCCCUCCUGACAUGUCAUCUUUCCAGUUUAAGAUAGCUCAUCGUCUCUACACACCCUAUCUACAUUGAAGUCACCCCUUGUAUUUGUCACCAGAUCACACCAAGCUAAGCCAGUAACCAUCAGCUGACCUUGGACUUGCCAAUGGUAGAAACGAUGCAUUGCUUUGGUGUGGGGGGCACCUUUAAUGAUCCGGCCAGCCCGUGUCAUUGCAGUGGAUUCGGACCUCACAUGAGCUGCUUCAUAGAACUUGCUUGCUAUGUCACCUCCAGACUCUGCAUAUGCAGGAGUUCAGCGCAGCUGCCAGCGACGAAAUUAUAUGGUGGAAGCUUGUAUUGUGGGACAGAAGACACCAUGGUUAGAGCAGACAUUCCAUCAACUAUCUUCGCUAUCAGUGGUUGUGGACAACGGGAAAUGAGGGAUGCUGCUCCAGCAAUGACAUCAUUGUCAGGUAAAGGUUCUAAAAAAAGUUCAUGCCUCAGUGUUUUAAUUGUUACCUAAUGUGAAAAUGUGUUUUAUUAGUAUUUGGAUAUCGCCUCCAUAUGCUUUGUACAGAGUAGACUGCACAGAGCUCCUACCAGAGGCUUUCGGUUUGCGCACCACAAGCUCAUCGACUGGUUUGGGAGUGAUGCACUGACAAAACAUGUAUAUCUUGCACUAGAUUGCACUCUGAUUUGCACAUUAUGCAUUUUAAAUUAAUUUUAUUUGUUAAUGGUUGGCAAAUUAAAAUUGUUAAAAACUGACGAAUGAGGUUUCUGUCUUUAUUUAUUUAUAUUUACCUGGGUUCGGA
rnacentral:lncRNA from 1 species